GUCCACGCCGUAAACGGUGGGAACUAGGUGUUGGCGACAUUCCACGUCGUCGGUGCCGCAGCUAACGCAUUAAGUUCCCCGCCUGGGGAGUACGGCCGCAAGGCUAAAACUCAAAGGAAUUGACGGGGGCCCGCACAAGCAGCGGAGCAUGUGGCUUAAUUCGACGCAACGCGAAGAACCUUACCAAGGCUUGACAUACACCGGAAACGGCCAGAGAUGGUCGCCCCCUUGUGGUCGGUGUACAGGUGGUGCAUGGCUGUCGU
rnacentral:rRNA from 1 species